GUAUCUUUUCGAUCUGUAAAUACAAACACUUAUCUCUUGUUGCGUUUCGAUAUACAAAUCGAUUUUUUUUUUUUUUUAAUAUUUUCUUUAAAUGUGAUAUUUUGUUUUGGUUGUCGUGAGGUAACUAUCUCCUACAUUUUAUUUCCCUCUUAUCUGUAGUAAAGAACUUCCUGUUACUCCGUGUUAAAACUAACAAAAUGGCGCCAGUUAGGAUGAAUUCAUGGAAAAUAUGCUUCAUCAAUCUUAUAAUUUCAGUGAGCUACGCCACCGCUACGUUAUGCGACAGUUAUUUGUACAACAUGGAAUCCUGCUACUCGAACCAAGUCUGCUGUUAUUCCGAAAAUUACUCCUACUGUUGUGACGGAUUGACUUACGGAACCAUUGUCGGAAUAGUGAUCGGAUGUCUGGCGGGAAUCGCCAUAUUUAUCGCUUUGAUUGUUGUAUGCUGAAACGUAAUGAACAAAAACCGCGGAAUGACAGGACGAGUUGUCCACCCUGGAGAUUCGGCAGGGGGCGUGACAGUUGUCAACUCACAGCAGCAUGGCUACGCAAAUGGGUCGUAUGGCGCAAACCCUGGGUAUGGAUAUGGGGGACAGCCCCUGAAUCCCGCCUACCCACCAACCGGACCCUCACAGUACCCUCCUCCUGGUGGGGUUCUGGCACCGCCCCAGUACACAGAACCUGGACCACCGCCAAAAUACUGAGCAAAGACAUGAAAACUGACACUACAAUAACCCAGAGAAAUAUACAACCAUUCUGUUCAUUGUUUAUAUAGAUCAACGAAUUGUUUAAUUACAAUCAACGUCCUCGAGAAACAACACCAGCAUAAAGAGUAUAGAUAGAGACAAUACAUACAAUACAACGUGCAAAAUCAAACCAAAUAUAUAUCAUAUCAAUGACAAGUUUUUUUUCGAAAAAAAAUUCAAACAGAAUCUUUAAAUUACGCAUUUCUCUUCAACAUUGACUUUUUAAGCUUUUGCUGUCAACAACAGAAUGAAAUAAACAAUGUCUUGAUA